ACGGCGACGGGGCGGCGGCUGGGCGUGCGGAGGAGCUCCCGCCCGGCUCCGGGGCGCGGCUGCAGCCCGAGCAGCGACCCGCCGGCCGCCGCCCACUGUAGCUCCUCGUUCUGUGAGUCUCCGCAGACAUUUGGAGCGGGUGUCAGGUGCUCAGACGCCUCCCAGGCGCGAUCUCCUCCGUGCUCUCCUUCAGUGACUGUCCCUAGGCCUGCGGGACACCGUCGUCACGGCAGCCCUGGGCUCCUCACAAGGUGACCAGCACCUUGGCUUCAUGGGCAGCUCACUUCUCCCGUUUGCAACAGCUGACAGCUGUGCGUUUUCCUCCCUCUCUGUUGGCCCUGUGCCGGAGACCAUGACUUGAAGGCGCUCCGGGUCUGCCUGUGGCCACCAUCCCGUCCGGCAGAGCCCGUGGCUCAGUCUGUGCCAGCCGGGCCUGUGGCCACCAUCCCGUCCGGCAGAGCCCGUGGCUCUCAGUCUGCGCCAGCCAGGCCUGUGACCACCAUCCCGUCCGGCAGAGCCCGUGGCUCUCAGUCUGCGCCAGCCGGGCCUGUGACCACCAUCCCGUCCGGCAGAGCCCGUGGCUCUCAGUCUGCGCCAGCCAGGCCUGUGACCACCAUCCCGUCCGGCAGAGCCCGUGGCUCUCAGUCUGCGCCAGCCGGGCCUGUGACCACCAUCCCGUCCGGCAGAGCCCGUGGCUCAGUCUGCGCCAGCCGGGCCUGUGACCACCAUCCCGUCCGGCAGAGCCCGUGGCUCUCAGUCUGCGCCAGCCGGGCCUGUGACCACCAUCCCGUCCGGCAGAGCCCGUGGCUCUCAUCUGUGCCAGCCGGGCCUGUGACCACCAUCCCGUCCAGCAGAGCCCGUGGCUCUCAGUCUGUGCCAGCCGGGCCUGUGACCACCAUCCCGCCCAGCAGAGCCUGUGGCUCUCAGACUGUACCAGCCGGGCCUGUGACCACCAUCCCGUCCGGCAGAGCCUGUGGCUCUCAGACUGUACCAGCCGGGCCUGUGACCAUCUCCAGCAGAGCCCGUGGCUCUCAUCUGUGCCAGCCGGGCCUGUGACCACCAUCCCGUCCAGCAGAGCCCAUGGCUCUCAGUCUGCGCCAGCCGGGCCUGUGACCACCAUCCCGUCCAGCAAGCCUGUGGCUCUCAGACUGCGCCAGCCGGGCCUGUGACCACCAUCCCGUCCGGCAGAGCCUGUGGCUCUCAGACUGUACCAGCCGGGCUCGCCUCUGCUGCAGGUGCUAAGAGCCUGUUUCCCUAAGGCACAGCCCGGUCUUCCUGGGCACGAGCGCGCAGUGCGGAAGCCCCUCUGGCCGCCUGCUGUGUCAGGGAGGCCUGCUGGCCUGGCCACGUGCCCUUCUACGCUUGACACCCGUAACUUUUUACAGAAAUGCUUUCUGCUACUCAGCUGUAAGAAGAUGAUCCGACCUUCCCCUUGUCUGUGUUUUGGCUAGGACGUGGAGGAAUCUUGGCGAGAUGUCCGGAUGCCCGUGUGGGUGGUGCGUAGGAAACAAGUCAGGAGGGCCCAGACUUACGGUUGUGCCAUGGACUAAACCUGGGUGUCCAGAGCUUCAGUCAUGGAGGUGUUUGCCUAAGCAGUGUGCUGUCUCUGCAGACCCCAGAUCGUCUCUCAAUUGUGGAGACAUGAAGCCGGAUCUAAUUAACUGAGGCGCCUGCAAAUCUUACACCUCUCCGUCCCGCCAGUCUUACUGCACCUAAGCCAACUGUCAGACGUGAAAGGGAGAUCAAACACUGGUGCUUUUAGCAACCAAGUCGAACACCUAAAAAAAAGUCUCGUGGUUCCGGAGGUGGUGCAGUGGAUCAAGUGUUGGACUCUCUAGCAUGAGGCUCCGAGUUCAAUCCCCGGUAGCACAUGUGCCAGCGUUGGGCUCUGGUGUCCCCUCUCUCCCUCCCAUCCCUUUAAUCAAUAAAUAAAAUAUUUAACAAUAAGUAAAAAAUAUAUAUAUAUCAAUGAAAUCACUGGCUAUUUGA